GGAAGCCGGGUUACGGUGC
rnacentral:snRNA from 1 species